rnacentral:tRNA from 1 species
UGGCUCAGUGGUAGAGCGCAUGCCUUGCAUGCCUGAGGCCGUGGGUUCAAUUCCUC